rnacentral:lncRNA from 1 species
UGGGAAUCAUAUACGGGCUCAUUAAUGGAGAAGCUGGAGAGGUUGCAAACUAGCCUGAAGAAAUGGGACUGCUCAAUUAGAAAAGGCAAAGCGAGUCUUAGAAAGAAAUUAACGAAUGAGUUAGAAUUGCUGAUGAAUAGAGGAAGGGAUGAUGAAACGAUGGAAAAAAUAAUCGAUGCUAAGAUCUAUCUUGUACAAGCCCAAUUUUGGGCCCAAAACCCUCAAACCCAAACUAAACAAAUAACUACCCAUAAACCCAACAGACCUAAAGCCCACUAAAGACCCAAAACAAAUAACCUAGCCCAAUACAUUAAAGAAAAAUAAAGGAAAACCUAAAACCCUAACCGUUCAGCACAUGCUCCCCAUCCCAUCCACCGUCUUUGCUGCAGCACCGCCCCAUCAAGUCCACCGCCGCAAGCACCUGCGAUGCAUUAACAAGACAAGACAGAAAACAAGAAGCAAGUUGUAGAAAAAACGCCUAUAAAAAGCUGAAUCCAUUUGUAAAAUUCGGCAUUAGUGAAAUAAGAACAACAUUUUGGUUUAAAAUACAGAACACAAAAACAGAUCCAAAGAUAAGCAUAAAGUCGCAGCGAAAAUAGAGAAGGCAGUCCAAAGAUUUCGAGCCGAAAGUUUAUAUCUUCUUUUCAUUUUUCCUUAUUUCGGACCCAUUCAUACAUAUCUUUCUCUAUUUUAUAUUAAAAAAAAAACAGCAUACACAAAUAUAUAAAAAAAAAUAAAAAAUACCCUUUUUUGGAUUUCCACGGUGGCCGGCGACGGUGGCGCACGACGUUUCGACGACCGGCCGAUAACCGGCCCCCCCUGGCUGGGAAUCGCCCCUCUCCCCUCUCUCUCCCUUUUUUUUUCUCCUCAGCAGCUAAAAUGAAAUUUUUAAAAAUUUUCAGGCUUUUAUAGCCUACCAAAACAGCACCGUUUUGGUGCCCAGUCUAAAACGCAGAAACGACGCCGUUUCAGGCAAUGACCCGAGGACCCGACCCGCCUAUGCCCAAGGUCCGCGUGUUUUUGGACUGAGGGGUUACUUGCGCCCUCAGUCCUUCCGCUUUUCCAAGGUUUUACAAUUGAGUCUUAUUUAAUUUUAAUUUGGCCCUAAAAUUUACUUCGUUUUCAAUUUGGUACCUUUGCGAACUGCGCCGUUUUAGUAGAUUGGGAUAUUUACUCCUUUGGUCCAUCCUGGUUGCUCGCGUGUUCAAAUUAAUCCCCUUUUUCCUUCAUUUAUUUGAAAUUCGCCUCAAAAUUCCACUGUUAAUUCAAUUUCAUCCCUUUUUUUUUUACUUUUCCUCAUUAUUCUAAUUUAAUUUUAAUAUUAUUUAUAAUAUCAUAUUUUAUUAUUGUUGUAUUUUUAUUAAUAGUUCAUUAUUAUCAUUUUAUUAUAUAUAUAUGAUAUAAAGUAUUAUUAAUAGUUUCAAUAUUAUUCUUAUUAUCGCAUAUGUAUGUUAAUAUUAUAUUUUGUCUAUAUUUUUAUUUUAUAUAGGUAUAUAUAUGUAUAUUCCUCCUUUUUAAUACCAUGUAUAUAUUUUAAUAUAUUAUAUGUAUGUUUUGUUUUGUAUACUAUGUAUAUAUUACGUAUAUGCCUUUAAUAUUAUUAGGUAUUUAUAUAUAUAUUUAUAUAAUAUUAUUAAUAAUUGUUUUUUCACAUUACUACCAUUUCUAAUAUAUAUAUGUAUGUAUCGUAUAUGCCUUUAUAAAUAGUAUGCAUAUAUCGCUCGUACUAUUAGUUAUAUGUAUAUCUAUUUUCAAUGUAUGUUUAUGUAAUGUUUUUUAUAUUAUCAUUAUCUUUGUAUUGUUACCAUCGUUAUAAUAUCUUUCAUUCACUAUUACAUUAUUGCUUUCAUCAUUAUUAUUAUUACUAACAUGUAUAUAUAUAUACUACAUAUUUUUAUUAUAUUACGUAUACAUUUUUAUAUGUACACUACGCAUAUGCAUUUUUAAAUAUUGUAUUAUUAUUAUAUACAUAUAUACUUUUCCCAUAUAUUUCUUAUUACUUCAAUUAUUAUGUAUGUACCUCUUAAUACAUUAUGUAUAUACUACUGUCGAUAUCAUUGUCAUUUUAUUUUACCAUUUUUUUGUUACAUUUUUCUAUUUAUUUGCUUGCGUAUUCAAUUACUUCAUUUUUCUCAAGUUCGUGUUUACAUUCACAGAUUUCUAACCAUUAUCUUUGACAUAGUCACACCUAUUAUUAUGUUCUUAUAAGUGCUAAUACCAUAUUAUGCUUUUAUGUCUUACAAUAAAUCGCGUUACUUUUUACUCAAUAUAUUAAAACAAUUCUUUCAUAAAAGCAAAAUCCGUUAUUAAGUAAUUCAAAAUAAUCGGGCCUUAACUUACUGAAUUUCGACUUUUCUCAUUUAACCUAAAUAAUAAAAUAUUCUUUUAAAAUCACGAUACAAAUCUUAAAAAUGCUUAUUUUCGAAGAUAUAAAACGUGUUACCCUAACUUACGAGAUAUGACACUUCAAAACUUUAAAACAAGAUCUUUUACAAGUAAAAUCAAUGUUAGAUAUUCGAGAAAACGUCUCAACUUACUGGAUCUCGAUCUUCGUUCCCUCUAAUUAACUAAAUAACCUUUUAAAAAAGGUUCGACAUACCGUUUUAAAUUCUUUCAAAUUUUCAAUCCUUGACACUAAGACACUAAUUAAUCAACUAGGUACCAAUUUUAAACGUAUCGACGUUACUAAUCCUUCCUCGUGCGUGACCAACUCCCAAACCUAUUUUCUUAAUUUACGUAGAGCAAAAUUAUUUUUUAAAUAAAUAAAAUUAUUUAUUAAAAAACUACUUUAACGAGAUGACCACAUCACACCUAGUCGAAAAGGAUCAAUCGUGACUACCGGUUUUUGUGUUCAUCAUUUUUCUAAAAAGACUUCUUUAUAUGGAAAUUGACAAACAUAAAAUGUAUUGAGAACAAAUGGCAAGAGUAAAUUGGCUAAAAUUUGGGUACAAAAAUUUUGUAUUUUUUCAUAAGUUCACCUCAGCUCGAAAACGAAGAAACAUAAUCUCCAUGUUGGAGCUUAGAAAUUAGCGAGGCUGCUACAAUAUUUUUUCAAAGGUUGUUUACGUCAAACAUAAUUGGCGAUCUGUCUCACUUGCUAAUGGGUAUUAAAAAGAGUUUUUCUUAUGAAUUAAAUACUAAACUUUCGUCACCGUUCAAUGCAAAAGAAAUUAAGACAGCUUUACAAGGUAUGGAGUCUACUAAAGCACCAGGUCCCGAUGGUUUUCCAGCGUUAUUUUUUCGGAGGUACUGGCACAUUGCUGGAAAAGACGUUAAAAAUUUUUGUUUGGAAUUUCAAAUUCUGACCAGAAAUGUGAAUUUUUCAAACAAACGUACAUUGCGCUUAUUCCAAAAAGUCCAAAUCCCAGAACACUAGUUAAUUUUAGACCUAUAAGCUUAUGUACGGUUAUCUACAAAUUUGUGGCAAAAGCAAUAACAAAUUGUCUUCAAGAUGUUAUUGGGUGAUGUAUUUAUCAGGCACAAAGUGCUUUCAUUCUCGGGAGAUUAUUUAGGAUAAUGUUCUUCUAGCUUAUGAAAUCCUACAUAGUUUUUGCCAGAAACGCACGGGUAAUAGGGAUAUAUGGCAGUGAAACUUAAUAUUAGGAAAGCUUAUGACAGUCGAAUAGGGUUUUCUUCAGGCCAUAAUGUUACAGAUGGGAUUCACAAGAGACUGGGUGGCACUUGUUAUGAAGUGCAUUACUACAACCUCGUAUGCAGUAAAUAUUAACGGAAGUAGGGCAAGAAUUUUUUAACCAACUAGGGGGCUUCGACAAGGUGAUCCUCUUAGCCCUUUUCUUUUUCUUAUGUGCAGUGAGGGUCUCUCAUUAUUGAUGAGAUUGGCAAUGGGGGAAGGGCUAUUAAAAGGAAUAAAGACUUGUAGAAGAGGCCUAGAGAUUUCCCACCUUUUUGCAGAUGAUUGCAUUCUGUUCGACGAAGCAACAACAAGGAAAGCAAUGAUGAUCAAAGAAAUAUUGAAGGAAUAUAAAAGCUGUUCAGGCCAAUGUGGAAAUUUUGAAAAAUCAACAGUAUUUUAUAGUUCGAUUUCAAAAGGAGACAUGAAGAACGAAAUUUCAGAGUUCCUAGGAGUGAGGGUUUCAACAAACUUGGAGAAAUACUUCGGGCUCCCUAGCAUGGUUGGCAGAAGAAAGGAGUCUUUUCUAAACCUUAAGGAAAGGAUUUCUUGGAAAUUUGAAGGACGGAGUGGUAGACUAUUAUCACAAGGGGUAAAGGAUAUCUUCAUCAAAUCAGUUCUUCAAGCAAUACCUACCUAUGCUAUGUCUUGUUUCUUCCUACGAAAUUCAUUGUGCGGAGAAAUUGAAAUGAUUUUCGCGAAAUUCUGGUGGCAAAAAGGGUAUGGAAAGAGAGGUAUUCAUUGGUGCCAGUGGAAGCACAUGUGUCACCCUAAGGAAGAAUAUGGAAUGGGCUUAAGGAAUAUGUCUCAAUUUAAUAUAGCGCUUUUAGCAAAACAAGGGUGAAGGCUUAUAACCAAUCCAGAUUCUUUAGUUACGAGAGUUUUUAAAGCGAAGUACUUCCCGAAUGAGGAUUUUUUAAAUUCAUGUUUGGGGAAUAAAAACUCGUAUGUUUGGAAAAAUAUAUGGGCGACUAAGGGUAUCUUGGCAAAAGGUCUUUGUUGGAAGGUGGGUACGGGAUUGAACUUCUCUAUUGCCAACGAUGCAUGGAUUCCAGGUGCAAUUAAUUUUAGAUUAUCCUCGGUUCCUUUUACUAUGACAGAUUUUAAAGUUGCUGAUUUGAUUAAUAGUGCUGAACGUAAAUGGAAAGGAGAGUUAAUUGUUGAUACCUUUGGGGAAGAAGUAGCAGGAUCCUUCGUAUCCCUCUGGCGAGAGAGCCUCACGAUGAUUUCAUGGUGUGUAGUGGUGAGCCGUCGGGAGAAUUUUCAGUGCGGAGCGCCUACAAACUAUUACAGACUUCGGAUCCUAGAGCUUAUGCUUUACAAAACAUCUAUAGGGAUUUUUACAAAAAAAUAUGGCUCCUAAAACUACCUACAAAAAUAAAAAUUACAAUCUGGAAACUUUCAUGAAAUUAUUUGCCAACUCGAGUGAACAUGCAGCACAGGAAGUUAGUGUCCAACUCAGUUUGUCCCCGUUGUAAUGCAGGAGCCGAGACCAUGGAUCAUAUUUUUAGAAAAUGCCCUAUUUCAGUUUCAGUAUGGAGUGUAUUAGAAAUCCCAAAUAUUCUACAGGAUACAGAUUUAGAGUUCAUACAGUGGGUCACCUGGAUUUUUACCCAUUACUCUCCUCCUCAAAGUAGACGAAUCGGUUGUGCGUUAUGAGCCAUCUGGGGAGACAGAAAUACUCGAAUCCAUGAUAAAGUCAGUAGAAAUGGUCAGGAUAUAGCAGCCUUUGUAAAAAACUAUAUUAAAGAACUUGAUGGGGUCGAAUCAAGAAACUCAAAAUACUGGAAGGAGGUUGAGAAAUGGAAACACCCACCGGGACAAGCGGUAAAAAUCAACUUUGAUGGAGCAUAUGAUGCGAGACUCUUCCAAUCGGCUUCAGGGAUUGGGGUUAGAAACAGAGAAGGAGAUGUUCUCCUUUCUUGCUCGAAAAUUCAUCAAGAAGUCCCCUCCACUUUCGCUGCGGAAGCGAUCGCUUGCAGGAAAGCAACCCAUAUAGGAAUCAAAAUGAAAAGGUCAGACAUUAUCAUUGAAGGAGAUUCACUAUCGGUUAUUAAAAAAUGCAAGAUGGAAAGACACGAAAAAUCACAGAUCGGGGCAUUUAUUCAUGAUAUUAAGCAGGAAACAUCUAGAUCAAAGCAUCUCAGAUUCGAACAUACUCCAAGAUCAGCAAAUGGCCUAGCACAUAUACUAGCAACAGAAACUUUGAAGACGCAAGAAGAGAUAUACCUUGUUGAAGGAGUUCCUCGAUUUGCAGAACUGCAGAAGGUUAUUGACAGUGAACGAGAACCAGAUUGAAGAUAAGAGAAGAUGAAUGGGACAAGGGGAAAUGUUUUUCAAAAUGAACAGAUGAAACGUCUUUUGGUGAUUAAAACCCCCUCAUAAAUGAAAUGCCUUGAGAAAUGGAGAUGACAGAUAGAUGAAGUGACAGGCAUCAGGAUUUUCUGAUUAGGCAUAUCUUUGGUUGAAAAUAGCUGUUCGUCUAGAGUUUUCUAUCUUCUUAGACUUUAUUCGGGCCUAGUUACACUUGGGCCUUUUUCCAUGUUUUUUUGUUUUUACUUUUUUUUGGACUGACUUGUUUUUCUUUUAUUUUGUGAUUAUAGAAGCCCAAUCUGAAUUUUAAUCACAAA